rnacentral:tRNA from 1 species
GGCGGUAUAGCUUAAAUGGUAGAGCAUAUCCUUAGCAUGCAUGAGGUCCUGGGUUUAAAGCCCUGGUACCGCCA